UCCCUGGCUCCUCCGGCGGCUUCUGCGCGCCCCCCGCCCUGGCCCCAUUGUGUGCUGGCUGGCCUCCCUCCGACAGCGCCCCCGCCUGCCUGCUGGGCCUAGUGCGCCACGCGCCUCUGGCCUCGCGGCGGGCGCUGUCACUCACUGGGAGAACCGGGCGGGAGCCUGGGGACGCGGGUUCGAAUCCCCGUGCUGGGGCUCCCAUCCCCCACCCUCCGCGACUCCCCUCCCUCACGCUCCGGACCUCGCUUUCCCUUUCUGGAAAAGUAAAGGACGGCCCCGCCCCCCUCUCUAUCCCGAGGUGGGGGAGAGGGGGCCUGGUCUGCAUUGUUGCGGUGUCCACCACAUACAAAAAUGAGGACACAAUCGCCGGAGUCGCGACUUGAACUCACGUCCUCCGACUCUAAAGUCCGCUCUCUACCCGGCCCGGCACGUGUUGAUUUCCUGAGCAGCCUCCGUUUAUUCAGGGCUCACUCCGGACACCGGCCGGAUCCUAGCUGGAAUAAACUCGAGACCACCCAGUCCUUUGAAUUGAGAGCAAACAAUUCAGCCCCAACCCGGAAAUAUCUGUCCGAGGUCACAAAGCUCCUAAGCUGCCUCCCGAGAUCAAGUUCAGAACCGUAGCCACCGGGAUCUUGUGUUUUGUUUUGUUUUUCCCCCCUCCACCCUUUUCAUUUUUAUUCUUUGUUGCUAGAGAUAGCU